GAUGAACGCUGGCGGCGUGCUUAACACAUGCAAGUCGAACGGAGUUUAUAUGAUAGAGGAUUCGUCCAAUUGAGUAUAAACUUAGUGGCGGACGGGUGAGUAACGCGUGAGUAACCUGCCUUGGAGUGGGGAAUAACACAGAGAAAUUUGUGCUAAUACCGCAUAAUGCAUCUGUAUCGCAUGGUACUGAAUGCCAAAGAUUUAUCGCUCUGAGAUGGACUCGCGUCUGAUUAGCUAGUUGGCGGGGUAACGGCCCACCAAGGCGACGAUCAGUAGCCGGACUGAGAGGUUGGCCGGCCACAUUGGGACUGAGACACGGCCCAGACUCCUACGGGAGGCAGCAGUGGGGAAUAUUGGGCAAUGGGGGAAACCCUGACCCAGCAACGCCGCGUGAAGGAAGAAGGCCUUCGGGUUGUAAACUUCUUUUACCAGGGACGAACAAAUGACGGUACCUGGAGAAAAAGCAACGGCUAACUACGUG
rnacentral:rRNA from 1 species